UGAACAAAAUUUUUGUUUUAUAGAGGUUUUCGAGUUGUAGAGGUUCGAGUUAUUGAGGUUCGACUGUAUAAGGACAAGGAUAUGCUCGUCUGGUAUUUUCGAGCGUAUGCUGAUACCGAGUGGCCAAUCAAAAUUGUUAAAAAGCUUACGUCAUUGUUACCAUGUCCUUAUACCAUGGGCGCAUCGUAAACACGGCUCAGCCAUCCGUUGCAAGUUGCUAUAGAUUUUUUCCUUUAAUAGCUUAAUUGCGGUAGAAGAUUCUGAAAGGUGAGCACGAUUACGAAGCUGUCAAGAUUGUAACGGAUUAGACUGGCACUGAAUUGGUCACUCAGCUAAUUGUCCUGCAAUUCUGGCUGCAGGUCUUAUCGCUGUGACAAGCGCAUUGUAAACACGGUAUACUAUUGCUCGGCCAUCCGUUGCAAUUUGCUAAAUCUUCCUUUCAAGAAUCCUUUCUACAUUUGCACAUUCAGACACGUCAAAUACUAAAUGGCUUAUGGAAUAUUGACAUUCUCUUUUGACUAACUCUCUUACUGACAAGGAUAACCUUCCAAAAUCAAACGGAUAAGAAUUUCAUGUGCGAAUCUGUAUAUCAGAGCAUUUUUUGUACAUAUAAUCGCCGUAAACAAAAUACGUGCAAGUUGCAUCGAAUAAUCAUAAAAUUGGUUAUUUACGUACGAAUUGAAGAAAAUGCGAACUUGUUGUGUCUCCGGAUGUUCUUCGGGUAAACACGCUCCACGUCAUACUUUUCCAAAGAAUGCCGAACGCCGAAAAAAAUGGUUUCAAGCUUUGCAUAUGGAACCAUUGGAGGACGAAAAUGAAAUAAAAAAGUUGAGAGUAUGCUAUAGGCAUUUUCGUGAGGAGGAUUAUAGUGGUUCUCUUAAAAAUAGAGUAUUACUACACUUUGCAUUUCCAUCUGUAAAUGUGCCGCAACAUGUGGCGGAAUUAGUUGAUAAUGUCAAUUGCAAUAGCCGUACAGAACAACGUGAAGAACAAUAUGAGGAACAACAUGAGGAACAAUAUGAAGAACAACAUGAGGAACAAGAGACGUUGCAUGAACACAGUGGCAAUGCUGCACAGCAACGCUACACAGUGCUACAAAAUAAUGAAAAUAUAUUGACCCAACAUGAAUUACAAUUACAAUUGCAACAAAUGCAAGAAAUAAUAACACAACAACAACAAAGAAUCGAAAAUAUUGAGAAAGCAUUGGAAAUGCAAAGUAAACCACGAAAUGUAAGACUUCAUCUUGAAGAUAUUAAACGAAAAAUUUCAUUAAGUCUUAAAGCUAAGAAACUAUACGAUCAAAUUGUUAGAAUAAAAAGAGCUAAAAGAAAGCAAAAGAGACUGGAAAAGAUAGCCAGACAACAAAACAAAUCACAAACAAUUCCAUUACAUACAACAGAUUAUAAGAAGAAUGUUGAUGCAACUGCGCAUAUACGAUAGAAUUUUAUAAACAUGCUCGUAAGGAACAAUGGUAUUAGCGCCACAGUUGAAAGCUGAAAAUAAAACCAGAGACCGAGUCAAGGAGGAUAUUCGUAUUUUGCUUGCUGAAAUUGAAGCUUUCUGAGAAGAAUGAUUUUCUACCUAGCAAACUUUCUGGUGGUCAACAAAGAAGACUGUGCCUCGAAAUGGCUCUUAUUGGCGAUGCUAGUGAUCGUGAAGAAAGAAAAUAAUGGGAAACAUCUUAAUGAAUUAUUUACAGCACCAUUACAGAAAAUUACAGGCAAUGAGCUAUACAAGCAAUCAAUGUUGGCAUUAUUGGGCAAGAAAAUUACAUAUACAAGAAAGAAUCUAUCUUACUGAUAAUUAUACGUAUGUCUCCUGAAAUGCUUUUACUAAAACAAAGAUCAAAUUUUGCGUUAUAUCUUAUAUUGGUAUUUUUUUUUGUAACACAACUUCAAAAUUUAAAAGUUUCUUCUAUU